rnacentral:tRNA from 1 species
GGCACAGUGCCUGAGUGGUUAAAGGGUGUGACUCGAAAUCACAUGGCUUCGGCCGCGCAAGUUCGAAUCUUGUCUGUGUCG